AGCGAACGGUCUCUGGUGCAUUGAAGCCACAAGAAAGACUCAUUUGAGGUAGUUUGGGGUUGGACAUUGGACAAUCAAGUGAUACCUGGCCCCCGGAGGGAUCUCAAACAUACCAGAUGCUGUUUUCUUAUUCAUCUUUAUCUAUGGCAAAUGAGCAUUGGAUUUUCACUGAGAAAAGCUGCCAGGAGCAGAGAUCACAUAUCUAAGACCAAGGACAAGAUGGCCAGAUGGACUAAGCCCCAGCCUUCCCAGCACUGACUAGUAAGCAUCACAGCAAA